UGGUGGAGUGAUUUGUCUGGUUAAUUCCGUUAACGAACGAGACCCCUGCCUGCUGAAUAGUCAAAUGAGUGAUUUUUCACUGAUUGUGGCUUCUUAGAGGGACGUGCAUUUUAUUAGAUGCAGGAGGAUAGGGGCAAUAACA
rnacentral:rRNA from 1 species